UUGUAAUUCAUUUGAAAGAAAGUCAUCGUGGUGUUCUGGUGCUGGCUUCCGAAAUUCAACAUGAGAGCAAUUCUUCGAAGUUUCAUUUUCGUUAUGGUGCUGUGUGCGGUAUUUUUGCCGGGAACGAGCACCAAAUGUAAUUGUUCGUGUGACGACCUAUGCAGUUCCUACAAUACCAGAGCAACUUGUGUUCAGUAUGGGUGUGCACACGGCUAUUGCUGGGCUUCAUGCAGUGCAGCUUUUCUACAGGGCGAGUGGUGCUGGACAACGAAAGGGGCAUUGUGGGACCGCAAUUACGUAAAAUGUGAUUAUGAUUUCGAAUGCAACCCGAAUUGGCAUUGUGCCGGAGCUUGUGCCCUGUUUGAUACGUUCAAUGCGACAAACCCUGAAAUGGACAACACGAAGAACAUCGAGACGAAUAAUGUUUAAGGAGGAGCUUUGCAUUUGUUGAUUAUGUGUUGAUUGUAUUUAGAUACGACAGUGUAAAGCAUAACAUUUCUCACUUAACGAUGUUAGAAA